UACGUAGGUGGCGAGCGUUGUCCGGAUUUACUGGGCGUAAAGAGCGCGCAGGCGGUCGUUCAAGUCGGAUGUGAAAGCCCCCGGCUCAACUGGGGAGGGUCAUUCGAUACUGAUCGACUCGAAGGCAGGAGAGGGAAGCGGAAUUCCCGGUGUAGUGGUGAAAUGCGUAGAUAUCGGGAGGAACACCAGUGGCGAAGGCGGCUUCCUGGCCUGUUCUUGACGCUGAGGCGCGAAAGCUAGGGGAGCAAACGGG
rnacentral:rRNA from 3 species